CGUCAAGAUAAUCUCUGAGUAUGGCUUUUUACAUGUCGGAGCUGAGACAGGAAGUCCUGCAUGGCUGUUUUAGAAACGUGACUUCAACAGGACAGAGGCAAGUGAAGUAUUUUCUGCAGUCAGGCUGGGACAGGAGACAUUUUUGGAUAACUUACCUCUUACUACACUCUGGAGACAUCGUUCACGCUGCUGCAUCGGAACUUGCAAGGAGAGGCUAUUUGGCAGAUUCUUCAAGUGGACAGAAAAGGAAAUCGAAAGCGUCUUUCCUAAUAUAGUAGUCACUGAGAUAAAAGGUUUAGAUGAAGUGAUAUUUACAUUCAGGCCCCAGAUACCUUUUUAAAGAUGGGAUUCAAAUUCACUGCAGGAACAUCUACACUAAGAAGCAAUGACCUUUCCGAAAUCAUAUACUGGAGAGAUGCAAGAAGCACAGAGAAGCAAAACUCUUGGGACGGACCCUGAGAGUUUGCCCAGGACAAGGGCACACCGGUGGGGUCUUGUCAUUGACAGUCUCAUGGCAUUCAGUCCUGUGCUCCAAAUGUCUCCUAGAGAUAAACUCCACAGUAAAUAGAGACAUCUGCCAGGCCCAGGCAAUUAAGAUAUAAUUUGGGGGUACAAAGCACCCAGUCCUAUUAAACAUAGUCUAGACAACUUAGCCUGUGAUUUGAGACCCCACAAAAUCUGGUCUGAAACUUUCUGUUUUUAAG